AUCUUUUCAAAAACUGGAUAAAUUAGAACCUUCUAGAGGAUUCUAGAAGCUAAUAUUAAAUCCUAAGGGAUUUAGGGAUGGUGUUAAGGUUAAUGGACCCUCCACAUGGUCAUUGAGUCGUAGGUAAGGCUCGGUUUGGGCUUAGUUUAGUAUUUUGGCCUUAACUUCCUCAUUAUAACUCGGAUUUGGGCUUAUAAUAUAUUGUUGGAAAUCUCUUUUCAAACCCCAUCCAACUACGCAAUCAUUUGACCCAGAUUAUGGACCAAAAUAGUCAAUAUUAGACAUUUUUAUAAAUUGGACACGAAAUGAAUGAUUUUCAGGAAACGAAAUGAACUAUUUUGGGUUUAAAGACACGAAAUAAAUGAUUUUGGCUAAAAAGAUUUUAGGAAAGAUUAGAAACGGUUAAGGCUAAAAGGAAACUCACGAGACUCUUCAACUCUUCACCUAACUCGAUAAUCAAAGACGUGAAGGUACUCAUCACUGGGUUUGGUUUUUGGGGAGACACAAUCAGGUGUCUACAGAAGCCCCCACUUUAACUAAGUUUGGAGAAACGUAAGUUUCAAAAACAAAAGUCAAAGUAGAUCGAUAGGGACGGAGAAUGAUUCAGAACGUUAUGCUAUCCUAAACCAUUCUUUUUAACUCCGAUACCUGCAGAAAAUGCUAGUUCUACAAAUAAAGGAGAUUUAAGGAGAAAAAAUGCGUAUAUGACACCAACGUAUUGGUAGCAAACACUUUUAGCAACUUUUCACGCCUUGAGAAAUCCACCGGAUGAUAAUUUUCCGCGCCUUGGGAAGACUGAUAUGAGAUAUAUUCCACGCCUCGGGAACCUCAUCGCGAAUCACUACGCUUCGAGAAACUCACAAGUGAAAGGUGACAAGCUUCCGCGCCUCGGGCAACAUGUCGUAGAUUCCUACGCCUCGAGCAACCUAUUGAAUGAUGAUUUUCCACGCCUCAGGAAGUCUAAUCUGGGACAGUCUCCACGCCUUGGGAAGCCUAUCGUGAACUCCUACGCCUUAAGCAAUUCACAAGUGAAAUUCCAUACUUCGGGAAUAACACUAAGCAUCCACGCCUUGGGGUACAUUCGUCGUCUUCUAUGCCUUGAGAAGUGCGCAAUGAUAUACAAUUUUCCACGUCUUGGGAGAACUUGUCUAGUAAUUACGUGUCUCUACGCCUCGAGAAACUUGCGACACAGUCAAUCAAGUUUUUUUUUUUGUUUUGAUAACCUCCACAUUCUCGAGGAGCGCCAUCGAAGACCACUACGCCUAGAGCCAUCUUCUCAAAUCAAGGUGACAACUUCCACAUUUUAGGGAACGCUGUUGAAGGCCAUUACGCCUCGAGCGGUCUUCUCAAAUUCUCUCGUCUUCACGCCUUGGAAGUGAUAGCUUCUCACGCCUUGGAAAACCUACUGUAAAACCUUACUCCUCAAGAUUUCACCAAGCUCAAAUCAAUAUCCUUAGAAAUCUUCCAUCUUAGGAAUUUCUUGAUUAUAAUCAAUCACUACUUAAAGGAUGUGCCUAAUCAAUACUCAAAUGUGCUCAAUUUAUCAAUAUGAUCGUCAUCAGGCCGAUCAUCAAUCAAAUCAAUUGCUUAGAGGCUAAAUGGCGCGCCAUAGAACUCAAACGGAUAAAUGUGGUCCACAAAGUCAGCCUAUGAGUCUUACAAAGUCCAACGCAGACAGCAGUAGACGCAUCGCGCAAUGCCAGUUUGUAUCGCGCCACGUUGGGAGUAUCGCCUUGCGAUAAAUUUGCAUUUUCCGCUGCUGCUUCCAUUUUGUUCGUUCGUUCGCGGAACUUCAAGUUGUACGUUCUUGCUUGUUUGUUGACAAAAUUCACUCAGAUCUUUUGCAAAUCUUUGCAUUCUCACUCUAUUUUACCGAUCUAUGUAAGUUUCGCUCAAACUUUUCUUAAUUUUGGUAAAUUCCAAGCGUUCUUAUUUGCGGUUUUCCGGAAAUUCGAACAUGUUUGUGCCUUUUUUAUUCAUUUUGGUUGAAUCUUUUGCCAUAAAAAUGCCUGUAUAUGUUUUUUUUUUGCUUUGUGAGUAACUUGAGACCAGAAUUACUUGAUUUGGUGAAGAAACGAGUAUUUUGCCAUUGGUGAACACUCUAGGUUCGUGAGUUGUAGCUUUUUCUUCAUGAUUUCUUGCUCUUUGUACUUAAUUUGUUGCAACAUUGGCCAUAAACUUGCAAGAAAUUGUUUUGGUGCUCAAAAUUUUUGUUAUUGUGCGAAUCAAAAUCAUGCUUUGUUUUUGUAUUUUGUACUCUAUUUUUCGACGAACAUAGUAUCAUGUGACUAUGCGAACUUAGAUACUAUAGAACGUUUAAUUUAUUGUUUUUAUGUCAACAACAAAAAAUAUUAUGGCUCGUCGUCAAGGCUCCGGCUCACGUUCCCACUCGUCCCACCAAGAGGACGAGCCCGUAGGCGAUGGCGACGGUGCUUCUACCAGCCGGGGGUGGUCAUUCCCUGAGUGGGACGAGCACGCCCUAGCUUUUCUACCAGUCUAUCACAUUUCCCAGCGCGUCCGGCUGGGUAUCACCGAUGAGCAUGUUCGUUGUCACAGCUCAGGCAACGAUAGCAUUUCGUACAUCUAUUACCAUUACAUUGGGAGGAAUGAGGCGAUGAGGGCUCUCUGGGAGUCUUGCGGGUUGACUCCCCUUUUUCGAGUCGCUAUGGUUGUUCAUCCUUGGCGGGAGAACCGUCGUAUUGUUCGGGGUGUCAUGGAGUAUUUCUGGGACACAACGAACACUUUUCACUUUUCAUGGGGCGAGAUGACCAUCACCCCUCUCGACUUCUCCGUUAUCACUGGCCUAGAAUUUUGGCCCACCUCACUUCCUGCAGACGGGAUGCAUAGUCUAGUUUCUCCCGAGAUUAUGGAGCUGCUAGGCUUUAUUGUCCACCGAGCCGCUGCUGAGGCUCAGAAUUUAAACACCAGCAUGAGGUCAGCCCACAGGACACUACUUACGGAGGCUUUAGAUGAUGAUGCGACCACCCAGGAGCAGCGGGUGUGCAUCUUUGUUCUUAUUCUCCUGUCGGGGACUUUCUCUUCUAACAGGGGAAGUCGUGUCUUGCUACACUAUCUCUCCUUCGUGCAUGAUCUUCAGCUGAUGGGCACGUGCGACUGGGCAGCCUUGGCUAUGCCAACUUGCUUUUGGAAUUGCGGUUGGCCUGUCGUUAGCGACAGUGUAGUUCAAAGAUUACUCUCUCUAGUUUCUGGAAGAUCGUAGAGGUAUAUGUCCUUCUAUUUUGGUGAGUUUAAUUUUCAUCUCGAUAUUUAUCGAGUCUUAGGUUUUCAAUCUCCUUGUACGUUUGGCUCUACGAGUACUUCCCUUCUUUGGCGCCGACGAGGCCUCGAGCUAGAGGGCUCCCAAUCGCCACCAGCUGGCAAGGACGCCGUGCUGGCUUAGUUACUACUACUUCUGUUAUUCUUGAGGUAAAGAUUUUUCCUUUUGUUUUCUUGUUUCUUAGGAUUUCAUCACAAAUACUUAACUUAUUCUUUUUUGUUGUAGCGCCUUGAUGUUCAGUAUCGCCCAUGGGCUGAUUUGGGUGAUUUUAGGCUGGCUUCUCAAUAUACUACUGAGAGGCGUUUCUUCUAGGGUAACUACGAUGUAGUAUGGUACCUGGGCGAGAGGGUGGCCAUUCAGCACUCCUCGACUGUUCAUGUAGUUCCUGCUGACCCUCCUGCUCAGAUGAUGAGUUAGGAGCGGCUCCGGAUUCAUGUUUCCACCGGAGCGAUUUGUGAGGACGGGCAUAUAUAUAGUUACCCCGAUUGUCCUUACGCGGAGGUGUUUCUUCCUCGGCUAGCUCUGCCACUCUACUACGAGGAGGAGGAGUUGGAGGAGUUUGUGGAGUUUGUUCCUCUAUGCAUGUCCAUCACUUAUCAAGGGACUUAUGGACCUGUUGAGGAAAUGAUUCCUCUGGCCCCGGAGGAGUGGCGAUUAGUGUCCCAGUCUAUUCCUCGUCACGUGACUUAGUUCUCUCGCGAGGUGGUGACGCGGAUGGCAGCGACCAUGGAUGCCUUUCGGUACCAGCUGGUGAGAUGGAGUCGCUGAGUGUCGUGUCGAGUACGAAUGGCGUUGUGCCGCCACGCACUCGUUCGAGGCCAAAGAGCUCGAGGGAACGAGGGGGAUCGAGGCGUCGACGCACCUUUUUGGAGAUCCCAUGUAGGGAGGAGGUGCGCAGCCAGGCCGCGGUUAAGGAUGAUAGCAGCUCGUCAUCAGGGGAUGUGAGGCCACUUGGUUAUGGUACUCCGUUGCUCUUUCCUCACCAGGUCCCCGAGUGCUUUUGUGGCUGGUCCAUCAUCUCGGCCCGGUGGUGGGACGUACGAGGUUGGCUUGUUGUCGCAGCAGCCAGGGCCCACUCCUUUUGCUCGGGGGAGUUUUUAGCAGUACGAGCCACACAGAGGUACUCAGUGGACUGGUCCUAUAAUCACAAUCCCGACAAGUGGUGGUGCUGAUACUGAUCAGGCGUGGACUCCACAUGGUGCAGAGUUCUAUGAUACUUUUGGCAUUCCUCUGGAUUUGCGUCCUCCAGCGCCAUAGUUGCUCCUGCAUGUAUUUUUUGGACAUUCUAGGACUUUGCACACACAUUGUAUAUUUUAUCAACUCUUUUAUUAGACUUAUGUGUGUACACUAGACUUUUAUGUAUAUUGUUUAGUCUUUUUAUUUUCUUA